AUUGAACGCUGGCGGCAUGCUUUACACAUGCAAGUCGAACGGUAACAGGCCGCAAGAUGCUGACGAGUGGCGAACGGGUGAGUAAUGCAUCGGAACGUGCCCAGUCGUGGGGGAUAACGCAGCGAAAGCUGUGCUAAUACCGCAUACGAUCUAUGGAUGAAAGCGGGGGACCGUAAGGCCUCGCGCGAUUGGAGCGGCCGAUGUCAGAUUAGGUAGUUGGUGGGGUAAAGGCCCACCAAGCCAACGAUCUGUAGCUGGUCUGAGAGGACGACCAGCCACACUGGGACUGAGACACGGCCCAGACUCCUACGGGAGGCAGCAGUGGGGAAUUUUGGACAAUGGGCGCAAGCCUGAUCCAGCAAUGCCGCGUGCAGGAAGAAGGCCUUCGGGUUGUAAACUGCUUUUGUACGGAACGAAACGGUCUGGGUUAAUACCCUGGGCUAAUGACGGUACCGUAAGAAUAAGCACCGGCUAACUACGUGCCAGCCGCCGCCGUAA
rnacentral:rRNA from 1 species